rnacentral:rRNA from 1 species
CGCGUAGGCGGUCGGGUAAGUCGGGUGUGAAAUUCCGGGGCUCAACCCCGAGAACUGCAUCCGAUACUGCGCGACUUGAGAGAGGUAGGGGCGAGUGGAAUUCCCGGUGUAGCGGUGGAAUGCGUAGAUAUCGGGAAGAACACCGGUGGCGAAGGCGGCUCGCUGGACCUUUUCUGACGCUGAAGCGCGAAAGCGUGGGGAGCAAACAGGAUUAGAUACCCUGGUAGUCC